CUCCAUGCACCUGGAAAUCAUUGGAUCAGAAAUAAUGAACUGUGUGAAGUUCUCGGUGGGGAGGCGUGCUCACAUGUAUUAGUCCAUUAUGGUCAACACCAGAUAAAAACACACGGGGGACGACUGUUUUCAACCGACUUUAUUCUAAUUGUGCGAGAAAUUGCGUGCUGUGCGUCUGAUCAUAGAAGCAGAAGGCAGAACGAACUUGCUUGGCAGGUGAAUGCUAUAUUGUGCUUAAACGGCUUACACUAAAGCGUGCACUAACUAAAAGACCUUCGCUGCAUUCAACCAAAGGUGACAUGUUGACACACAGCCAAUGCGGGGGACAGGUCAUUCGCUAAUGGGGAGAUAAUGACAAGGAAAUCAUUUUCAUGUCGCUAAGCUACGCUAACUUAUUGUCCUCCAUAAAUAUGCAAGUGCACCCAGAUUUCGUAUCCAAAGUCAGGAAGCAGCAGCCCUACGAAUCAAUUAGCACGCAACCCAAGAAGCCUCACAAUCCAUUCCCAGUCUCUUUGUAAUCAGAUGAACCAAAGUCAAGGUCCCCUCACAGUUCUCUGAAUUGGUUAAGAUACCCAGUGGUAUGUAGUUGAAAUGUGGUGCUUUAAGGCGAAGAUCUUCAUAAUAUUCCAGAAUUUGAUAAAACUGUUGGUGAAACACCUAAACACAUUUAAAGGUCCAGAAGAAACAGAAACUUUGAUUUAGAGUCUAGUUGUGAGGACUCACUAGGUACAAGUAUAGUAAAAAUGUCUAAAUAUUAGGUACCUCAUUUGUUUGGUAGAAAAAAAUCCUAAAUACUAUUAAAGGAAAAUUGGUGUGAACAGGUAGGUGGUAACACCUGCUAGGCUCUAGGCCUGCCGCACCUCCACUGGUGCCCAUUGGGCUAGCUGCGGGGUCAUUAGCCAGGGACACACAUACUAGUACACGCAUAAAGUGCACACCACCUAAUGGCCAUGAUAUAAAGUUGCCUUAAUUAGUAGAUAGAUAUCUGUUUGGUAUAAAUUCAAAAUCCUGGGUAUUUAGUUUGAGCACAAAGGUAGUCUUGCCUAACUAAUGACAAACUGGAUCCUCAGUUUAGUUCUCAUUUGUAUUACGAUGAGACGGUAUGGAGAGCUAGCUAGUAAUCUGACAGGAUCUCAGUUUUAGUCAUGUGAAAUGCCCUAGCCUUACCCUCAAGCCAAUUGUGGAUCAAAGUAUUCAGGACCACGAUGAAGUUUUAGCCAGGUGCAAGCUUUUAGGCUUUUAGGCUUUGCUCUUACUGCCUGGUGGGCUUCUGUAACUUGGCUGGCUAUAGGCUAUGCUCAACCAUUAAGUGAGGUCAGUGACGACUUUCAUUCAGUUUUAGUUGGUGGUGGAGACCGCUGGGUUGUCAAUAGCUUGGUUUUUCGUAUAAACAAACAGUGUUUCCCCGUCUAAGAAACCCACCACGGAUACAGUUGUUGUCUUAAACUCACUGAUCAUGUGCCGCUGUAAUUAGUUCAGCCUGGUGCAAUCUGGAACGGUAAUGUCUAAAAUCACUGCAGCACACUUGUCUGCAGCACACUUGAGUUCUCACAAGAACAGCGGCAAGUGUCAAAUCUCAUUCUCAGUAUUUCAUUACUGGAUUGGCAGAUCUGAAAUCACAUAAUGCCUCAGUUUUCUUCCCUACUGAUGAAAGCAGAAAUACAAUUUCUUGAAAUGUCAUAACUCUUCAGGAAUGGCAGAUCAGCUGCCUUGAGCCAUGUACUCAUUCACAUAUGGGAUUGCUGAUUGAUAUGGAGAGGACACAUGAGUAUGAGGUUUACAGUGCUAAGCUGAUGAGUUCUCACGGUAGAUUUAAAGACAAUAUAAAAGCAUUAUGGAAAAGGUAUUGGGCAGAUCACAAAACAAUAUUUGCAAUACAACUUUACAAUAGUAAAAAGCUUUCGAUCUGCUCUAAUGCCUUACCAAUGACUGUAAACCAAACUGAACCAAUGAUUUCAUCAAAUAUGGUUUGGUUCUGGGUGGACCCGAAUGAUAUUCUGUUCACUCUGCAUACUGGCUCACACUUGAGCCCAUGGCACCUUUUCAUUUUGAUGUAUUUUGUCUUAAUUUCUGUGUGGCGAAAUGCUGCCCAUGCUUUUUUGCAGUCGUUUUGCCUCACACAUGUUUGUGAUGCAUCACCUGCUGCAUGCAUAGUUUGACAUGCUAAUAUAUUUACAUGUUGAAAUAAUAACAAAGGAGACAUUCAGUGUAUUAGCUGGUUGAUGUAUGAGGCGGGUGUGUUCACUUGCACCCAUUUUUCAUGUACCUCGUUGAAUAUGCGCCACCAUAGGUCAUUUCAGUCAUGAUGGGGGAGCCUGGUAAAAAAAAAUCCCCAUCGGCUGAUUAGAAUUGCCUGUAUGUGUUGCCACUGGAGGCGACUAGCAUCCGGGGCUAACCAGCCAGAAAUGAUCAUGAUAUCCGCUGCAUACGUGUGGAACGCUAACAUAUAAAUCAGGAACACGAGAACACAGAACACAAGAUGCACACAGAAUCCAGGGUGACUAACAUUUACCUCCAGCUUAUACACAACCCUCUGUGGACUAAAAAUAUUGACAAAGCCAAGGAUGUAGUAGAUCUUUUUCUCUUUUCUUCCUGUCUAUUUUACCACAGUGGUCCCUAUCCUCUGUGGGCGAGCAUUGGCAGGCCUAAUUGGAUGGUCUAUGAAUGGGGAUGGCUCGUGCCUUGCAGGCACACUCCGACAGCCUUGAAUAAGGAUCAGUCUACUGAAGGUGUUGAAUAUAAAUGCAGUGCUUAUUCUCCACCAGCAUCGUGCAAGCUAGAUGCGUCACAGACAGGAAUGUCUGCAAGGCAUCAGACACGCGACACACAUUCCCCACCCCACUCUGGACAAGAGGGUUUGGAUCGCCCACGCACACCAUCUCAUGAGGUCCCUGGUGAGAGACAGAGGAAGAGACAGCAAGCCCCACACUAUAAAGAGACAGCACUGCACAUCUUAAGGAAAACCUCAGGAUCUUUCAACCUCAGCCCUAUUCAUACCACUCUUUGGGUCAAAAUCUUUACUAGGGACAAUUAACAAUAAAAAUCGGUCUGGUAUUGAAUUAGAACGCUAUAUAAUGGAAGCCUAUGAGGCAAGCCAACACGUCAAAGUACACCACUUGUUUUUCACCAUUGAUGGGAUGGUACAUGGUAAUAUAAGGGUGUGACAACAUGAAAAAUAUCCCUACAGAGAUACACUUGCGUCUGUUUACCUCAGUAACUGUAAAGAAACUGUAGAAAAUGACUGUUUGUACAGUCAGUGUUUAACCUCUGUCUUCUUCUGGUCUCUGACGUAGCACCCUAUUUGCUCAAUUAUCGAUUAUCAUCCCAGCACCACGUGGGGGGCCAAGGCCAAGGAGCACAAAUCAAAGCAAGCAAACAAAAAAAAAACAUAAGAAAUAAGAGUAAAACAGUGGCUGGAAUGUUCCCUUUUGAAAGAGAAACAAAGCACGUUGGUUGUCAGCUACAUGUAACAGCAUAGCACAUAUCCAAGAAUAAAGAGAAUGUGAUCACCAAAUGUAGGCCUACUUUGCAGGCAUGUUCAGUACUCCCACAGUGCAGUAAGACUAGAGGGGGAAAGAUUCCAAUGCUACACAAACAAAAGAACACUGUAAACCACUGUUAACCUUAACAACAAAUGACUAAAAUAUGCAUACAUAUUGUGUCAUUUACCAGUGUCUCCGUGUCUACACCCACAGCAGCACAUUGGUGGUCGUAUCAAUGUUAACUGAAACAGAAAACUAUGUUUUUUUUACAUGGUUUGAUAUAAACAAGGCCGCUCUGUUGAAAGAGUAAAAACACAUGCCUCUAGCAAUCCCGCUGGUGAGAUUAACAAAGGAAAGGAAAAAGAACCCGUGCCCAUUCAACACGUUCCGUUUUCAGUUCCUUCACAUGCAUAAGAGGGGAGUCUACUACACCGCCGCCCUUGCAGCAGCAGAAGGAUCUAACGUACACAGACACCACACUUUUAUCACUUCCUGAUUCACCUAUUGGUCACUUGACCUUACAACAUUCUUCAAAUCAUGUGACUACCUGUGUCACCAUUCACCUAGAUCCCCACACUACCCUACUGGUAGUUAUCAGCAUAUAAAAUAGACUGACGCAUCUGGCAGCACGCCUCUAUGGAGCAAGGAGGAGUACUGAUGGGGAGGCAGCACGCCUCUAUGGAGCAAGGAGGAGUACUGAUCGGGAAGCAAAAACAGCUCAUGGCUAAUGAGGAUAAUCUGCAUCUCCUCCUCCAUUUAAAUUAAAUGUUCUCACAGCAGCAUGGGUAUUUAAAAGCGUUUUCGUACCAAUGUUGCCACAUAAUCUUUUUUUGUAUUUCAAAGUGACUAGGCUAUCUAUCUAUCCACUAAAUGUUCUCACAGCAACAUAGGUAUUUUAAAGCAUUUUUCAUAAAAAGAACAGAACACAUGUCCAUCCCUGACCAAAGAUGGACAGUUCACUUGACUUGGUCCCCGAGCGCUUACAAGCUGCCCACUGCUCCUGGGGGGUCCUGGAGGAGGGACAGUCCAGGAUGGGAAAAGGCAGAAGAUAAAUUCACCGCGACCUCAGGCCUGCGUGUGCGUGUGUCCUGUGUCACCUCCAUAUAUUCACGUGUGUGUUCCAGUGUGUCGUGUGUGCCAAUAAAACCUGACAAUUAUUAAUUAUUAUUAAUUAUACCAAUGUUGCCACUUCUUUGUAUUUCAAAGUGACUAGACUAUCUAUCUAUCCGUUAUCCACUUAAGCAUUAAAACCUGUUCUAUUAUACUAUAUAGCUUUAUAUGUUGUUCAACUACUAUUGCUUAGUAAUGUAUCACCAAUUUCCUAGUCAGUAUGGGAUCAACAGGGACUUGUUUAUGAAGUAUGCACCAAUCCAGAAACACAGUGUCAUGUCUUCCUAACACCCCCCCUCUCUCAGACCAGACGGAGAAAGCCUUAAAAAGAAGAAAGCUACUGUUUGAUGUACCUGAGAUUUCUGCGCCUCUCCUGAUAUCUACAUCACCCAGACACCCAACAAAGAGAUAGCAGCUCUCUCCCACUUUGAUCCAGCAGGAUUCUGACACUUUCCCUUCAUCAUGCUGGGGAAUAGGGCCUUUAUCUCCGGCGUCCGGUAUCGCUCUGUGGUCCCAUUGGGUGUAGCCUGUGGUUGGCAAUUAUGGUUAAACUGACAGUUUUUUUUCCCUUCACAUUCCGUUGCACUUCAGACAUAUUUAACAUAAGUGCUUCCUGAAAAGAAGUUAUUCCGUUUUAAUCAUGACAAAUUGGACAAUAUUUUCCUUAUCUGCAGGAUGUAUAAACAAAAUAAAAAAAAUAGUGUUCGGUAGACUGGAAGCAACGCACACAGACCCACUUUUCAAAUGUCUUGGUAGGCUCUUGAGCCUGCUCAGGUGGAGCACUUACCUUAGCUUAUUUCAGCUGUCACUCUUUCCAGCGAUCACUUUGGACUGCUUCAGCUCAAGUGGAUAGAAGUGCUUUGGAUAACACUGGCUUGCUUCCAUCAGUGACUUGACAGAACAUCCACUGACAUUUUCUGACAGUUAGAUCUACAGUUUAAAAAGGGCAAACAUUGGUUUCCGCCCGACUCUCCCAUUCACCCCGAGGACUCAAGAACCCCAGGAGUGGUUCAGACUAACUUCCGCAAGAUUCUUUUUUUAUUAUUAUUUUCCAAAAUGAAAAAAAAUCUCUGUAGAACACCUUCUCAAUUCACCUGUAACUCCAACAUAAGUGGAA
ensembl:lncRNA